rnacentral:rRNA from 1 species
GCGAGUCGUUGGGCGGUACGAAACCCGAAGGCGAAGUGAAAGCGAGGGCCGUCUCUGACUGUGCUCAGGUGGGAUCCCGGGCUCUUUUCCCUUUGGGCCUGGGCGCACCACCGGCCCGCCUCGUCCGCGCUGUCGGUGAGGCGGAGCAGGAGCGUGCACGUUGGGACCCGAAAGAUGGUGAACUCUGCCUGAGUAGGACGAAGCCAGAGGAAACUCUGGUGGAGGUCCGUAGCGAUUCUGACGUGCAAAUCGAUCGUCAAACUUGGGUAUAGGGGCGAAAGACUAAUCGAACCAUCUAGUAG